rnacentral:rRNA from 1 species
CCUACGGGAGGCAGCAGUGAGGAAUAUUGGUCAAUGGACGAGAGUCUGAACCAGCCAAGUAGCGUGAAGGAUGACUGCCCUAUGGGUUGUAAACUUCUUUUAUAAACGAAUAAAACGAGGCACGUGUGCCUUUUUGCAUGUCCUUUAUGAAUAAGGAUCGGCUAACUCCGUGCCAGCAGCCGCGGUAAUACGGAGGAUACGAGCGUUAUCCGGAUUUAUUGGGUUUAAAGGGAGCGUAGAUUGGUUGUUAAGUCAGUUGUUAAAGUUUGCGGCUCAACCGUAAAAUUGCAAUUGAUACUGGCAGUCUUGAGUACAGUUGAGGUAGGCGGAAUUCGUGGUGUAGCGGUGAAAUGCUUAGAUAUCACGAAGAACCCCGAUUGCGAAGGCAGCUUACUAAACUGUGACUGACAUUGAUGCUCGAAAGUGUGGGUAUCAAACAGGAUUAGAUACCCUGUAGUC